rnacentral:tRNA from 1 species
ACCUGGCUGGCUCACUCAGUGGAGUGUGAGACUCUUGAUCUCAGAGUUGUGGGUUCGAGCCCCAUGUUGGAUG